rnacentral:rRNA from 1 species
AUUGAACGCUGGCGGCAGGCCUAACACAUGCAAGUCGAGCGAGCGGCGGACGGGUGAGUAAUGUCUGGGAAACUGCCUGAUGGAGGGGGAUAACUACUGGAAACGGUAGCUAAUACCGCAUACCAUCAGAUGUGCCCAGAUGGGAUUGGCUAGUAGGUGGGGUAACGGCUCACCUAGGCGACGAUCCCUAGCUGGUCUGAGAGGAUGACCAGGCACACUGGAACUGAGACACGGUCCAGACUCCGUCGGGAAGCAGAAGUGGGGAAGAUUGCACAAUGGGCGCAAGCCUGAUGCAGCCAUGCCGCGUGUGUGAGGAAGGCCUUCGGGUUGUAAAGCACUUUCAGCGGGGAGGCGUUACCCGCAGAAGAAGCACCGGCUAACUCCGUGCCAGCACCCGCGGUAAUUC